rnacentral:sRNA from 1 species
GGUUUUCUCACGCUCACGCAGCUGCGCCAGGCACUGGCUGUCGGGGAGGGUUUUGCAUAUGCUGCACAACAGGCAGCCAUUUCCGAACGGGCUUGUGUCAAAACUUCCUCUUGAGCCAUGAACGUUACCUUAGCACGGGGAACAGUAGGGCUGGCAGGUUUCUUCGUGGAGGGUGUCGAGUUGAGGUCUCGUAAAGGGCCUUGACUCGCCGCAUGACUGGGUUAUGAGAGGAUCCUGUUAGCGGUAUACUGAUAGUGGGAAAUGAGUUGCGAUUGGCAAGGGGGAGGGAAUUUAUCAUACUCCACAUAUGGGAAACCGGCAUAAGAAGCACUCGGUUUUUGUAUCGCUAUCACAGGCAUAUACCCUAAGAAUGCCCCGCUCACUGCCGAGAUGGCCAUCUGGGAAAACCGUCCGUCGCAUUCCCUUUGAUGUCAAGCUCAAGUUUACUAGGUCCUGAUAGUGCAAGUGUUGGGCGACGAGAGUCAGAAUAUCGAUAUGCAGGAACCUUGCCAGUGGGUUGCUUUUGUUUUUGGAUUUGCCCUGGACCUCUUUGGGUUCUGGAGGAGGAGGCUGGUGGUGUUUGGAUUUUGUAAAGGAUUGAGGAAAUUGAUGGCGUACUUCCCGAACGGGCAGGUAGACCAAUUGGCUCAUUUUGUUAAUGCAACGAAGACGGAAGCGUAAUUGCGAUUGUACAGGCCUAGGCAAGAAAUGUAUUGAAUAUUGGGGAACCGUAGCGACAAUUUCACAGAUAAAAUAUGGGAUGAGAGAUAAAACUCUAAGCGCAGUAAAGAUGUACGGCUCCUUUCUUCUUCUUUCAGGGCGCAUAUCUGAUCGAACGACCCUGAUCGAGAUAGCCAUGCUAACGAUGAUGUUAAAGAAUGAAACUAGAAUAUAUAUAACC